rnacentral:lncRNA from 1 species
UGUGGAAGGUGGUGUUUGAUCUCCUUCAAGGCCUUCGGGGACAGGUACUUCUCUGAGGAGGAAAACCUGAAGCCUCCAGAUAAACACAGCAUUUCUUUCAGCAGCAUCGUUUUUUCCUUGAGGGAGGAUUGUGUAUCGUUGAGAUUUUGGAAAAUCCUAAGCAUCAAAAAACAAACACAAAACCCUGUAAUUCUACCGCCCAAGGCUCUGCCAUCUAAGUGGCUCCCUGCACCUGCUCUGGGGACAGCAGCUCCUGCAAUAGACAACCGCAGAGGUCUGACGCGGCUCAGCAGGAUCUCAUCCCGAGCUCCAGCUCUUCUUCCCUUCACUCAGCAAGUGUUUCCUGAAGUCUUACUUUGUGCUAGAUACUGGGGUACAGGAAUGAGCAACAGACGUGAGUCCUCAUCCUGCAGGGACUCAGAUUUAGGCCAUGUAAUUGGGUCUUGCAAUAGUGUGGGAAAAGCUGUGAGAGCAAAAUCCAGCAGCACUGGGAGGCCCAGGCAAGACUUGGGAGAACGGGGAAGAAUUCCUGGAGGAGGCGAACUUAGGCCCAAAGAGUGGCUGUGAUUUGGCACAAGACAAAGGGUGAGUGUAUCAGACACCGCUUAAGUUAGGGUGAUCUGAGGAGGGUUUAUAUAAAGGGGAUGUUGCAAAGGUUUGGGCAGUGCAUGGGGAACAGCCCGAGAUAAAGCAGGGUCUAGCAGCUGCAGAACGGUUACCAUUCCUGGCCCAGAAGAAACGGCAGCAAUACUGCGUCUUGGAAAGAGAGAGAUUAGUUGGGUACUUACCGUGAUAGAAGGAGUGACCUUCCCUCUAGAGCUCAGCCAGCAUGAUGAGACCUCAGAGGGAGGACACAGAUACCCUGAUCUCAUUCUCUGCCAUUCGCCAAAGUGUUGCUGGUGACCUCCCGUGGCCAGACCCAGCCAGAAUCCAGAGAGCACUGGAGCUGCUUGAUGCGAUGCAGGCAGGGCAGGCUCCGGGGCAAAGCAGAGUGGAAGUGGACCUGGAAGGGCACAAAGAAGUUACCUGCACACAGGGCUGAGGAGGGAGGGCAUUCCCAGGAAAAGGAGAACCAGAUGUGAGAGGAUGGAUGUGCAAGAGGACAUACACUGGAGUUGGCCUUGGUGCUUCACACUAAUCCCAGCAUUCUAGGAGGCUGAGGCAGGAAGACUGCACGUUUGAGCCCAGCCUGGGCAACUUAGUGGCCCUGUCUCAGAAUGAAAAAGGGCUGGGGAUGUAGCUCAGUGCCAAGGUGCUGGGACCAAUCCCCAAUACCGCAACAAUAACUGAAUAGAAGUACACGGGUUGGGGAAGUGCUUUGUUUAUGGUUGGAAUAGAGUGAGUAGGAUGAGAGGUGUCCAUUGUACAUAGACAUGCCUUCCUAAGGAAUUUGAAAAUUUAUCCCAAAGACAUUGGGAGCAGCUGAAGACAUCGAAGCAGGGGAUAAUGUGACCAGGUUUGUGUUUUUA